CUUAACGUCGGUUUAAAAUAUUUACAAAUCUGCAUGAAUAUAUUAGAUGAUGUUGCUUUACAUCUUUAUGGACCAUUUUAAAAUAUGUGCUCAAUAUAACAAUAAUAAUAAUAAUAUUAAUAAAUUUCAUUUAUAGAGCACUUUUCAUUGCUAAAAGCGAUCUGAAGUGCUAAUAUAUUGCAAUAAAGAUAACUGUAAUUAUUACCUUUCGGUCACACUCUGGUCAGAAAUGUCCUCGUCGUGACUCCAUGUCUUUCCAGGUUGUAUCUGACCCCGGUCCGGGACGACGAGGCGGAGUCUCAGAGGAAAGCGAAGUCUCGUCAUGCCAGACAGACGCGCAGGUCAACACAGGGUGUGACCCUGACUGACCUGAGAGAGGCUCAGCGGACGGAGGACGGAGGCCGGGCUCUGACCGACAGGUGCUGCCUGACCAAAGGUCUCACAGAGGCGAGGGGAGUCAGGACGGGCCCGACGGACACGACACAAUCCACAGAGUUCAGUCCCAAGUGGAGCGAACUGGACGAGCAGGGGAACGUCGACCCGAGGUUGGAAACGCUCGCUGAGACUCCGGCACCAAACGCGUCCGGAGGCCUGACGCAGUGCAGCUCUUCCUUCAGAGGUCAGAGGAGA